AAGCGUAUUCAACACACUUGGAGUAUCCACUUUCAUCCCGGGGGUUUGGUGGCUCUCCAAGUCAGCUCAGGUCAUGGCCCUGAGGCUCCUGAUCAGUCUCCUGAUGAUCUUCCCUCCAUGUGUUCAGUCCCAGAAUAGCAUCAUAGAGUCUGGAGGGGGAGUGAAGAGGCAAGGAGAGAGCAUUCAGCUGACCUGUGUUGUUUCUGGGUUUUCGCUAUCCAGCUACGCCAUGAGCUGGGUCCGUCAGCCCCCAGGAAAGGGACUGGAGUGGGCAGGAGCUGUUUGGAGCAAUGGUGCUCUGUACUAUAACAGUGCUCUGAAGAACCGGCUCACCAUCUCGAGGGACACCUCCAAGGGCCAGGUGUUCCUGCAAGUCCGUGACCUGAAGCCUGAGGAUUCUGGCCUGUAUUACUGUGCAAGAGGCACAGUCACCCUCACAGAGUCUGAAGGUGGAGUGAAGGGGCCAGAAGAGACCCUUCAGCUGACCUGUGCCAUGUCUGGGGUUUCUCUCUCAUGCUACGCCAUGAGCUGGGUCCGUCAAGCCUCAGAAAAGUGGGCAGCAAGUAUUGGGUAUGACGGUGCUUUCUUCUACAACACUGGUCUGAGAAACCGGCUCACCAACUCGAGGGACACCUCCAAGAGCCACGUGUUCCUGUAUGUGCGUAACCUGAAGCCUGAGGACUGCACCAUGUAA